UGGGGUGUGGUGAAACGGUAUCACGCUUGACUCUGGAUCAAGUAUUCCUGGUUCGAAUCCAGGCACCCCAGCCA
rnacentral:tRNA from 1 species